UACAGAGGUGCUCAAGCGUUGUUCGGAUUCAUUGGGCGUAAAGGGUGUGUAGGUGGCGCGCUAAGUCGGGUGUGAAAUCUCGGAGCUUAACUCCGAAACUGCAUUCGAUACUGCCGUGCUUGAGGACUGGAGAGGAGACUGGAAUUUACGGUGUAGCGGUGAAAUGCGCAGAUAUCAGGAGGAACACCGGUGGCGAAGGCGGAUCUCUGGGCCGUAACUGACGCUGAGGAGCGAAAGCAUGGGGAGCGAACAGG
rnacentral:rRNA from 1 species